rnacentral:rRNA from 1 species
GAUGAACGCUGGCGGCGUGCCUAAUACAUGCAAGUCGAGCGAACAGAUGAGGAGCUUGCUCCUCUGACGUUAGCGGCGGACGGGUGAGUAACACGUGGAUAACCUACCUAUAAGACUGGGAUAACUUCGGGAAACCGGAGCUAAUACCGGAUAAUAUAUUGAACCGCAUGGUUCAAUAGUGAAAGACGGUUUUGCUGUCACUUAUAGAUGGAUCCGCGCCGCAUUAGCUAGUUGGUAAGGUAACGGCUUACCAAGGCAACGAUGCGUAGCCGACCUGAGAGGGUGAUCGGCCACACUGGAACUGGGACACGGUCCAGACUCCUACGGGAGGCAGCAGUAGGGAAUAUUCCGCAAUGGGCGAAAGCCUGACGGAGCAACGCCGCGUGAGUGAUGAAGGUCUUCGGAUCGUAAAACUCUGUUAUUAGGGAAGAACAAAUGUGUAAGUAACUAUGCACGUCUUGACGGUACCUAAUCAGAAAGCCACGGCUAACUACGUG